UUGCAGCCACUUCUUUCCCUUUUUCUAAUAUUUCGGCCACAAUGAGUAGGUCAUUCCCCGGCAUUUUCUCGCCAAUGACAGACAAGCGUCUUCGUCCGUCGUCCCCGGAGCUUCCUAGCCUCGUCUGCAUGGUUUGAGCAAGCGAGUUUUGAAAGUUAUAUUUGUUCUCUAGCGUCCAUGGUGAGCUCUGCAGACUUCAUAGAUUUGCUUGGUGAUGAAGAGAUUGAUCAGUCGAGUGUGGCUGAUAGUAAAAACGGCCUGGAUUCUAUUCCGAGAACAACUAAGCUACGAGGAAACACUAAUAUAGAGAGUUUUGGUUGGGAUACAGUAUGCUCUGUGAGACAGGAAUCCAAGGAGAGCAGAAGCUCAAAUGUUUUUCAAAGCCAAAGUGACUUUGUUGAUUUUGAUCGAGGCCAUCACCCUGUUGAUGAGUCACUUCCUUCUCACAUGCCCUCCUCUUAUCCAGCCCCAAUCUGUCGUCAAUUCUGGAAAGCUGGCAACUAUAACGGAGGGCAACGUCCUAAACCCCAACUUUCUGAUGGGAAAAAUUAUCUGCACGUGCACCCUAUGUUCCUUCACUCCAAUGCCACCUCACAUAAGUGGGCCUUUGGCGCUGUAGCGGAGUUGAUUGACAAUGCAGUUGAUGAGAUAAAAAAUGGGGCUACUUUUGUUGUGGUAGAUAAGAUCAUAAAUCCAAGGGAUGGUAGCAUUGCUUUACUAAUUCAAGAUGAUGGUGGUGGAAUGGAUCCAGUAAUUUUAAGGCAGUGCUUAAGCUUUGGAUUUUCUGAAAAGAAACUGAAAUCCGCCAUUGGGCAGUAUGGAAAUGGGUUCAAAACAAGUUCAAUGAGACUUGGGGCAGAUGUUGUCGUGUUUACCCGUCACAUGGGAAAGAGGACACUUACUGAAAGCAUUGGACUUCUCUCCUACACAUUUUUAAGACAAACAAACCACGACAGAAUAGUAGUACCACUGGUGGAUUAUGAACUGAAUGCAUCAACUGAGAAAUUGGAACCCAUACUUUCUCAUGGUGAAGCACAUUUUUCAGCUAAUCUAUCUGUGCUGCUGCAGUGGUCUCCAUAUUCAACAGAAGAAAUGCUGAUGCAGCAAUUUGAUGAUAUAGGGUAUCAUGGAACAAAGAUUGUUAUAUACAACCUUUGGUUAAAUGAAGAUGGGGAUAUGGAGCUAGAUUUUGAUUUUGACGUGGAGGAUAUCCGUGUCAAAGCAGAUCCAAAGCUGCUUCAGACUGGAUGCUACCCAAAUCCAGUUUCUGAUCAGCAUAUUGCUAACCUAUACCGUUAUUCCCUCCGUGUAUACUUGUCCAUUUUGUACCUAAGGCUACCUCAAAGCUUCAAAAUACUUCUGCGGGGGCGUGUUGUCAAGUGCCAAAAUAUUGUUGAUGAUCUCAAAUUUCAUGAAUUUAUAUUGUAUAAACCUCAAAUUGAUGGGAGCAAGGAGGCUGCAGUUAUUACUACUAUAGGGUUUUUGAAGGAAGCUCCAAAUGUAAAUAUUCAUGGGUUCUGUAUCUACCAUAAGAACCGUCUUAUAUUGCCAUUUUGGCCUGUUGUCAAGAAUGCAACCAACAGUAAAGGAAGAGGAGUUGUUGGUGUUCUAGAAGCAAAUUUUAUUGAGCCUACUCAUGAUAAGCAAGAUUUCGAGAAGACUUCCCUUUUCCAAAAACUUGAAGCUCGAUUAAGGGAAAUGACAAUGGAAUAUUGGCAUUUGCACUGUGGAUUGAUUGGGUAUCAACAAGUGAAAAGAUCAUUGAUCGCAUCCAAGCCUUCUCAUGAAAAACUUUGCUCUGCAGCAUAUCCUUUCCUCGAACCUAUUUUACUGAAUGACAGGCCCUCUCUAACUGAAAAUACAAGAGCAGUUUCUUCUGCAAUUGGAUCUUUUGGAGAUGCUAUUUCACCUAGAAGCCCAGAUAUAUCAAGAGUACAUGCAAAGAGGAAAGGACAAAAUCAACCAGUGGAGCUUGGGCAUGGAAAAAGGCAAACGGGAUUAGAGUCAUAUUUGGCUGAUGACCAGCACAAUAGAGUGAAACAGUCUGUCCAUGGCAAUGAAAAUCAGCUGGAAGAUGAAAGAAUUAUUGUCCUGAUGCAAGAAAAUAAAAAACUCCAGACACGGUAAGUACAGAGCAGGUUUGUUUACAUGAUCAUUGGAACCUGCUCCUGCAGUAGAUCAAGUUGGUAUGGUUGGUUCCCCUGUCUUAUUGAUCUCACUUAUCUCAGCUUUAUCUUAAACUUUAGGCACACCGUUGCUAGGAAGAGGUUUUGUUCUCUCUAUAGUAUAUUCUACUUAGUAGAUUGACUAUAUCACGUGACAUGAAGUUAAGUGGAGGUGAUGGAGAGAUAAUAAUUAAGGAGCCAAUUUGGAGGAGAGACAAUAAUUAAGGAGCUCAUUUGGAGGAAAAAGAACAUUACCUGUGGAAUAAUUCUUCUAUUAGAAGUUUGAGAAAUUCACUUCAGGAUGUAAACUGAAACUGGCUUUCUAACAAGGGGUCCAAUGCCAUUUGCAUUUGUACUAAUCCGCUGUUUGAACAAACCUCAAUGGUUCUAGGUUUCCUCAGACUCCCAAUCCACUCUGUGACAAUGUUAAUGGAAUUGGAGCAAAGGGAGGAAGAUCUUAAGCUGAAGGUGGAACAACUUAGGAAUGAGCUAGGUGACGUUGAGUCUGAGUAUGGUAGGCUGUUGGCUGAAUCAGAGGCAAUUGAAAUGAAGGACGAGAAAGCUU